AUGCAAGUCGAACGAUGAUGCCCAGCUUGCUGGGCGGAUUAGUGGCGAACGGGUGAGUAAUACGUGAGUAACCUGCCCUUGACUCUGGGAUAAGCCUGGGAAACUGGGUCUAAUACUGGAUACUACCUCUUACCGCAUGGUGGGUGGUGGAAAGGGUUUUACUGGUUUUGGAUGGGCUCACGGCCUAUCAGCUUGUUGGUGGGGUAAUGGCUCACCAAGGCGACGACGGGUAGCCGGCCUGAGAGGGUGACCGGCCACACUGGGACUGAGACACGGCCCAGACUCCUACGGGAGGCAGCAGUGGGGAAUAUUGCACAAUGGGCGGAAGCCUGAUGCAGCGACGCCGCGUGAGGGAUGACGGCCUUCGGGUUGUAAACCUCUUUCAGUAGGGAAGAAGCGAGAGUGACGGUACCUGCAGAAGAAGCGCCGGCUAACUACGUGCCAGCAGCCGCGGUAAUACGUAGGGCGCAAGCGUUGUCCGGAAUUAUUGGGCGUAAAGAGCUCGUAGGCGGUUUGUCGCGUCUGCUGUGAAAGCCCGGGGCUCAACCCCGGGUCUGCAGUGGGUACGGGCAGACUAGAGUGCAGUAGGGGAGACUGGAAUUCCUGGUGUAGCGGUGAAAUGCGCAGAUAUCAGGAGGAACACCGAUGGCGAAGGCAGGUCUCUGGGCUGUUACUGACGCUGAGGAGCGAAAGCAUGGGGAGCGAACAGGAUUAGAU
rnacentral:rRNA from 1 species